GUAGGUUCUUAGCCGGCGUUGGA
rnacentral:siRNA from 1 species